AACGAACGCUGGCGGCAUGCCUAACACAUGCAAGUCGAACGAGACCUUCGGGUCUAGUGGCGCACGGGUGCGUAACGCGUGGGAACCUGCCUUUAGGUUCGGAAUAACUCAGAGAAAUUUGAGCUAAUACCGGAUAAUGUCUUCGGACCAAAGAUUUAUCGCCUUUAGAUGGGCCCGCGUAAGAUUAACUAGUUGGUGGGGUAAAGGCCUACCAAGGCGACGAUCUUUAGCUGGUCUGAGAGGAUGAUCAGCCACACUGGGACUGAGACACGGCCCAGACUCCUACGGGAGGCAGCAGUGGGGAAUAUUGGACAAUGGGCGAAAGGCCUGAUCCAGCAAUGCCGCGUGAGUGAUGAAGGCCUUAAGGGUUGUAAAGCUCUUUUACCCGGGAUGAUAAUGACAGUACCGGGAGAAUAAGCCCCGGCUAACUCCGUGCCAGCAGCCGCGGUAA
rnacentral:rRNA from 1 species